AUCUUAUGACUUGUGAGUGCUUGUUUGCAAUUCUUCAAGAUGACUUUCACUUCUUUUUCCUUUAAUGUCUUUAAUUAUCUCAGCUGAUGACCAUUACAUUUUAUUAAGAAAAUAAUAAUUAACAUUUGUUUCAUGCUUAUGUGCUAAAUAGUAAUGCUCUACAUGUGUUGCUCUCAAGUAUUAAUUCAUAUAGUUCUCUCAACUCUCUGAAGUAGUUGCUGCAAAGUUGCUCCAUUUUCAAGAUGAGGAAACAGAAACAAUCACAUAGCUAGUACUGACAGAAAUUUGCCUUUGAAUCCAGCCAGGCUGACUACAGAAUCCGCCUGUCACCACCACACAGUACUCCCUCCCGUGGUAUGCUGAAACAAAGUAAAAAGGACUACCUUUGUUUCCUUCUUUUGCAUUUGCCCCUUAAUCUGAACCUGUGCUCGUGUCUUCUGCUUUCCUUGUAUUUAUAAAGUUGAUUCUGUGCAUGCCUAUCUAAAAAUAUGCUUCCCAUUCCAUCUCAUCUACCUGUAAUGACCUCCUCUCCCUUAAACAUGAGCACAUUGGCUCUUUAUGCCGGGUUCAUUUCCAUAAAGCUACAAACAUGCUCCAACAUCUCUUCUUGCAUCCCUUCCGUCUUCCAAGAAGCUAAUUCCAAAACAGAACUAGAUAUGCAAAAAUUGUAAUGGAGCUUUCCUCACAGAGCUCCUGUGAGAGAAGAUGGGAAGAAAAUCAGAAGAGCCAUCAGAUCAUGAUGCAGCUUAUUUUGUGAGUUUGAGGUGGACACAAUCGUUGGGGAUUUAAACCAUCCUAGAAGGAACAUGAUGAAGACAUUGGAAGGAGGCAAAACCGGAGACAGAGAACUCACACGCAAGCUUCAAAUGAGGACGACCUUGGCAAGCAUCAGGGUCUUUUCAAAUGAGUCAGCUCUUCGCAUCAGGUGGCCGAAGUACUGGAGUUUCAGCUUCAACAUCAGUCCUUCCAGUGAUCUUCAACUACAAGCAGAUUUUCAACUCUUUUAAUAUGUUGAAGAUUUUUGUUAUUUUAACAUUAUUUUAAAAAUCUAGAUUCCCAUGUCACAAACUAAAUGGAGGAGAAAUUUUUAAUAUUCCUCAAAUCUCAACCUUAUUUACCUUCUGGAAUUACCACCUACCUUUGUUCCCCCAUCAAGUACCUUAUCACACUGUUGUUAUGAACUUGUCUGCAUGUAUAUCAGAAAUCUAAGAUGAAAAAGCAAGUAUCUUUUAGAUUCCUCCAAGGGAUGACAGACAAAAAAUUUGGUUCAUUGACCAAAUUUGAUUCACCACCUGUUUUUGUAUGAACUAUGAACUAAGAAUAGUUUUACAUUUUUAAAAGAUUGAAAAGAAUUCAAAAGAAGAAAAACAUUUCAUGACAUGUGAAAAUUAUAUGAAAUGCAAAUUCUAUUGUCCAAAAAUGAAUAAAGUUUUAC